rnacentral:tRNA from 2 species
GCCGGGCUGGCGGAAUGGUAGACGCGACGGAUUCAAAAUCCGUUGGAGGCAACUCCAUGAGGGUUCGAGUCCCUUGCCCGGUACCA